UUGAAUUCUAAGCAUAUGUAACAUAAACACAAACGUUGAAAAACUGUAUCUAAAGGGGGAGCCCUCUCUGCCGUGGCCGCUGACACGCUGUGGCCCAGGGUCUGGGACUGCAAACUUCACAGGAGCUGAAGUGAGUUGCCCAUACGCUGCAGGUGGUUCUUCUGCCUCGUGAAGCUUCCUUGAAAACCAAGAUGAGCCAUACUCCAGUUGAACAGUCCGUGAUGGACUUGAUUGUCCUGUUCCACAAAUACACCAAACCUGAUGACAAGAUUGACAAGCGGGGCCUGCUGAAGAUGCUGAGGGAGAAUUUCCCUAACUUCCUCAUGGCUUGUG